rnacentral:misc_RNA from 1 species
UUUUUCUUGACACGUCCUAUUAUUCUCGAUUUGUAAAACUUACUCAUUUCUCCAAUUUCAGAUCUGCACCUAUUCUGCUCAAAUACUGUUAUUUCACCAAUAGAAGAAAUCCAUCUUCCUUCAGAAUCUAAUUUCUGAAAUCUGUUACGUUCGGGAUCUUGGAGCUAACUGGUCCACCUAAGCAAUGACUUCUAAGAAUUGAAGGGGAAAGGGUGAAGGUGAAGCUUUUUUGAAGAUUCUAAAACUACACAAAUGAUGCGAGGGAGAUCAGAUGGAGCGCAGAAGAAGCGCUUGUUGACUUCUGUAGCUGUUGUUGCACUCUUUGUUGUUGUCCUGUAUUUUUAUUUUGGCUCUAAGAGCAACGGUGAGUCUGCUUUAGAGUAUGGAAGCCGAUCAUUGAGGAAACUGGGAUCCUCGUAUUUGGGUGGAGAUGAUGACUCUGAUCUUAGCAGCAAGCAAGAUGAGAAGUUUGGGCUGGAAGAUGGUGAAGAUGGCAUCGUUUCUAAGAGCUUCCCAGUUUGCGAUGAUCGACAUUCGGAGUUAAUUCCCUGUCUGGACAGGCAUCUCAUAUACCAAAUGAGAUUGAAGCUGGAUCUAACAUUAAUGGAGCACUAUGAAAGACAUUGUCCAUUGCCUGAAAGACGUUUCAAUUGCUUGAUUCCUCCUCCAGCUGGAUACAAG